UACGUAGGGUGCGAGCGUUGUCCGGAAUUAUUGGGCGUAAAGAGCUCGUAGGCGGCUUGUCGCGUCGGAUGUGAAAGCCCGGGGCUUAACUCCGGGUCUGCAUUCGAUACGGGCAGGCUAGAGUUCGGUAGGGGAGAUCGGAAUUCCUGGUGUAGCGGUGAAAUGCGCAGAUAUCAGGAGGAACACCGGUGGCGAAGGCGGAUCUCUGGGUCCCCACCGACGCUGGGGUGCGAAAGCAUGGGGAGCGAACAGG
rnacentral:rRNA from 1 species